GACGAACGCUGGCGGCGCGCCUAACACAUGCAAGUCGAACGAGAAUCAGCUGAUGAAGUUUUCGGAUGGACUCGGUUGAGGAAAGUGGCGAACGGGCGAGUAACGCGUGAGCAACCUACCUUGUACUGGGGGAUAACGUCGGGAAACCGGCGCUAAUACCGCAUAACAUUACGAUAGCGCAUGUUAUUGUAAUCAAAGCGUUAGCGGUACGAGACGGGCUCGCGUCCAAUUAGCUAGUUGGUGAGGUAAAGGCUCACCAAGGCGACGAUUGGUAGCCAAACUGAGAGGUUGAUCGGCCGCAUUGGGACUGAGACACGGCCCAGACUCCUACGGGAGGCAGCAGUGGGGAAUAUUGCGCAAUGGGGGAAACCCUGACGCAGCGACGCCGCGUGAAGGAAGAAGGCCUUCGGGUUGUAAACUUCUUUGAUCGGGGACGAAAAUGACGGUACCCGAGGAACAAGCCACGGCUAACUACGUGCCAGCAGCCGCGGUAAUACGUAGGUGGCGAGCGUUGUCCGGAAUUACUGGGCGUAAAGGGCGUGUAGGCGGGGGGACAAGUCAGAUGUGAAAUACCGCGGCUUAACUGCGGGGGUGCAUCUGAAACUGUUCUUCUUGAGUGUCGGAGAGGAAAGUGGAAUUCCCAGUGUAGCGGUGAAAUGCGUAGAGAUUGGGAGGAACACCAGUGGCGAAGGCGGCUUUCUGGACGAUAACUGACGCUGAGGCGCGAAAGCGUGGGGAGCAAACAGGAUUAGAUACCCUGGUAGUCCACGCUGUAAACGAUGGAUACUAGGUGUAGGAGGUAUCGACCCCUUCUGUGCCGGAGUUAACACAAUAAGUAUCCCGCCUGGGGAGUACGGCCGCAAGGCUGA
rnacentral:rRNA from 1 species